rnacentral:tRNA from 1 species
UCCUUGGUGGUCCAAUGGCUAAGACUCUGCACUCCCAAUGCAGGGGACCUGGGUUCAAUCCCUGGUCAAAGAA